UUAACAAAGAUAUUGGUUAACUUUAAUAACAGAUUGGUUGAAAAAUGACUAAUAUCAUUGGUUAAGCAAAUGUUAACCAAGAGAUUGGUAACUGACGCAGGUCUGACGCUCAACGUCAAGUACGUAACUCUGCUUCUCAAUUUUCUGACAAAGCCGCCAUCUUGGUGCUGCAGGAAAGCCGUUUGAGAUAUUGAUGAAAUUCAAACACUUUGUGAGAUGACAGAAUAUUGCUGAAGGAUCCUACAUGGAAGCUGGCUGAUUACACGGAGUGAUUCCUCUGGUGUGGUGUACCUCAGAGAAAUAAACACUGUUGCAAGAGCUGAGAAGAUGGCCAAGAUAUCCUUAUUGCUGGAUGGUAGCUCUGGUCGUAGUGGACCAUAUCUGCAAAUGCUUCUGAACAUUGACAGAAUUUCUAAAGAUGACUGAGAAUAUUACUGAAGGAUCCUACAUGGAAGCUGUCUGAUUACACUGAGUGAUUCCUCUGGUGUGGUGUA